rnacentral:rRNA from 1 species
GAAUUUAAGCAUAUAACUAAGCGGAGGAAAAGAAACUAACAAGGAUUCCCUCAGUAGCGGCGAGCGAAGCGGGAAAAGCCCGGGAUGAAAAUCUCUUCGGAGAGUUGUAGUCUGAGCGCCCUUGGGCGGUCAGUGUGGGUAAGUCGUCUGGGAUGACGCGCCAUGGAGGGUGAGAGCCCCGUCCAGCCCACACAGGACCCGCCCGCACGAGGGUUGCUUCAACCGAGUCGGGUAGCUUGGGAAUGCUGCUCUAAAUGGUGGUAAAUCUCAUCAAAGGCUAAAUAACGGUGGGAGACCGAUAGCGAACAAGUACCGUGAGGGAAAGAUGGAAAGAACUUUGAAAAGAGAGUGAAAAGCGCUUGAAACCGUCACGGGGGAAGCGAAUUGCGUGAGUGAUGGUGCGUACUGUUCAGCCCCCAUUUUGUGGGGGUGUAUUCUGUGCGCGCCAGGCGUGCGUGGCUGGGCCGUGUGCGACUUUGGCACAUGGCCUGGUGAGGGCUCCCUGCCAGCCAGGUGAGGACGCACGCGAAAUGACGCGAAUCGACCCGUCUUGAAACACGGACCAAGGAGUCUAGCACGGCUGCGAGUCGAAGGGUGUAAAAACCCAGAGGGCGCAGUGAAAGCGAAAGAAAGCAAAUUGGGGAGGCGUUGCGGUUUUACCAAAAUGUCCUACCUCGAGCACCUGUGCUGGGACCCGAAAGAUGGUGAACUAUGCCGGAGUAGGGCAAAGCCAGAGGAAACUCUGGUGGAGGCUCGUAGCGAUGCUGACGUGCAAAUCGCUCGUCGAACUUGGGUAUAGGGGCGAAAGACUAAUCGAACCAUCUAGUAGCUGGUUCCCUCCGAAGUUUCUCUCAGGAUAGCGGGCCGACGAAUGUUGUUUUGUGCGGUAAAGCGAAUGAUUAGUGCAUUUGGGGGCCGAAGGCCUUCAGGCGAUUCUCAAACUUUAAAUGCGCAAGGGGGCGGCUGCUUAAUUUGAGCCUGCUCUUUGAAAAACGUCGGCCCUGUGGGCCACUUUUGGUAAGCAGAACUGGCGAUAAGGGAUGAACCUUAAGCGCGGUUAAGGCGCCGCAUUGCCCGCUUAUAGACCCCACAAAAGGUGUUGAUUCAUCCAGACAGC